CAGCUGUUUGGUGCCCUCUCCCUGCGGUCUGGCUGGUGAGUUUCACUGUGCCGUUGUGGAGGCGGUGCAGGCCAGCUCCUCAGGAUGGAGCUAUGGUGUUUGCUCUGUGCAAGUCAUCCGGGCAGGCCCGAGGGGUCGUCUACUGGGUCUGGGACGAUGGGUCUGUGCUUCGCUGGUCAGCAGGUUGCCGCUCCCGCCUUUUUGUCGUGGUAUCGCUUGUCCGGCUAUUACUGAGGCUGUGGGUUAGUGGGUACUGAGUUGUGUCAUGCAGGCAUGCAGUGCUUGCG